rnacentral:rRNA from 1 species
ACGCUGGCGGCAGGCCUAACACAUGCAAGUCGAGCGGUAGAGAGAAGCUUGCUUCUCUUGAGAGCGGCGGACGGGUGAGUAAUGCCUAGGAAUCUGCCUGGUAGUGGGGGAUAACGUCCGGAAACGGACGCUAAUACCGCAUACGUCCUACGGGAGAAAGCAGGGGACCUUCGGGCCUUGCGCUAUCAGAUGAGCCUAGGUCGGAUUAGCUAGUUGGUGGGGUAAUGGCUCACCAAGGCGACGACCCGUAACUGGUCUGAGGGGAUGAUCAGUCACACUGGAACUGAGACACGGUCCAGACUCCUACGGGAGGCAGCAGUGGGGAAUAUUGGACAAUGGGCGAAAGCCUGAUCCAGCCAUGCCGCGUGUGUGAAGAAGGUCUUCGGAUUGUAAAACACUUUAAGUUGGGAGGAAGGGCAGUAAAUUAAUACUUUGCUGUUUUGACGUUACCGACAGAAUAAGCACCGGCUAACUCUGUGCCAGCAGCCGCGGUAAUACAGAGGGUGCAAGCGUUAAUCGGAAUUACUGGGCGUAAAGCGCGCGUAGGUGGUUCGUUAAGUUGGAUGUGAAAUCCCCGGGCUCAACCUGGGAACUCCAUUCAAAACUGACGAGCUAGAGUAUGGUAGAGGGUGGUGGAAUUUCCUAUGUAGCGGUGAAAUGCGUAGAUAUAGGAAGGAACACCAGUGGCGAAGGCGACCACCUGGACUAAUACUGACACUGAGGUGCGAAAGCGUGGGGAGCAAAC